rnacentral:rRNA from 1 species
GAUGAACGCUGGCGGCGUGCCUAAUACAUGCAAGUCGAGCGAACAGACGAGGAGCUUGCUGGUCUGACGUUAGCGGCGGACGGGUGAGUAACACGUGGAUAACCUACCUAUAAGACUGAGAUAACUUCGGGAAACCGGAGCUAAUACCGGAUAAUAUUUUGAACCGCAUGGUUCAUUAGUGAAAGACGGUCUUGCUGUCACUUAUAGAUGGAUCCGCGCUGCAUUAGCUAGUUGGUAAGGUAACGGCUUACCAAGGCAACGAUGCAUAGCCGACCUGAGAGGGUGAUCGGCCACACUGGAACUGAGACACGGUCCAGACUCCUACGGGAGGCAGCAGUAGGGAAUCUUCCGCAAUGGGCGAAAGCAUGACGGAGCAACGCCGCGUGAGUGAUGAAGGUCUUCGGAUCGUAAAACUCUGUUAUUAGGGAAGAACAUAUGUGUAAGUAACUGUGCACAUCUUGACGGUACCUAAUCAGAAAGCCACGGCUAACUACGUG